GUUCUCAUUUCAAGGGGGGGCCAGGAGUCUGACUUUUAGGCCAUUUCCAGAGGCAUCACUGAAGUUCCCUAGGGGAUUUUCUCAUUUAAGCCCCAUAGAGACCUUAUGAAGCAGAUAACUUCACCUUAUAGGAGAGGAAACCAAGGCCCAGCCCAGAGAGGUUAGAGAAAUUUCAAGGUCACACAGCAAGCUGGUGUGUUAGGCACAGUUAGGAUUUGAGCCCUAGCCGUCUAGCUCCAGGACGUGGGCUGUUAACUGUGUCCUUCUGCUGCCUCUUAGCCAGAUCCGGGGGCCAAGGCCCCAUCAAUGACCCAAAAAGCCUGCUUGCUGUCAUUCAGAGGCUGCCAUCCCUGGCACCGACUGGGGCAAACAUGCCAGGUUCCACACCGCACUGGCUCCCUGACUGAUGUUCCUUCCCCUGUUCCAGCAGCCACGAUGGAUCCAUACCACCAUCUCCUCCUACAGAGUCGGAGCAUUUGAAGCAACCCCCACUGGGAAAUCAUCUGAGCUAAGAGGCAAACAGAACAUUGCGGACACACAGAGAGGCCUCCAAAUGGGUCUCAGGGGUAACAGUGUAGGAGAAACUCGGAACAGAUGAUCUGCGUGGACAUAAGAGAGGGGAAGAAACUGGCCCAAGGUCACAAAGCUGGUCAGUGAUGGGUGUGGGACUGGAAGUCCGGCGGUCUCUUUCCUGUGCUUAUGCAUCUGCCGCUGUGCCACACAGUGUCUCACGUGCUCAGAAGCAAGACAAAAACCUCCUCUUAGAGGCCAAGAUACAAAGGGGCUGGGGGUUUCAGCAACAGAGACAAGAAGACAACCAGCGGAGGACAAGAAGGUAGAGAGAGGAGGCCAGGAGCAAGGUUCUCCUCCCUGGUCAGCCAGCCUGAAGGUCAAGAGCUCAGGUUCUGGAGUCCCAACAGUUAGGUUGGAAGCCAGGCUCUGACUUGUACCUCUGAGUGACAAGGACAAGUCACUUCACCUCUCUGAGCCUCAGUUUUCUGAUCUGUAAAAAGGGCACAGUAGCAGGCCUGCUUUGAGUGUUACCAUGACACAGUAAGCGCUAAGCACCGUGCCUGGCCUGGAGUCAGUACUCCCCGCAUCUGCACAGGUAUAUGCGACUCAGCUCGGGUGCUCAGGGGGUGACCUCAAGCCAUGUGAACGAGAGAGGCUGGCUGGCUUCUGGAGGUGAGUGGGGAGCUUUGGCCUGUGUGAGGGAAGACUGGCUGAGUGGCAAAGCCAUUCAGGGCCAGACCUCCCGACAGGCUCUUGAGGAGUCUCUUAGAAAAGACUUCAAGGUUCAAAGAAUUGAAAAUGAUGGAAGUUAAAGUAGUGAGCAGAUUCUAGUCUCUGACCAGGUGACACUUUCACAUCUACCACUGUGCCAUAAAAGUAUGAAUACUGAGCAUCCGUGUCUCCUAUGGAGUAAUUUAAAAGAUGCUUUCACAUCUGUGAAUUAAUUGGAGCUCUAUGAGUUGAGGCAAAAUAAAAAUUAUUAUACCCAUUUUAAGGAUGGGGGACUGAGGUUCAGAGGGGGAAAGGACACAGGAGAUCUGGAGCUCCUACAGCAGAGUGUUCUCUAUGCUAUGGGCCAAAGGCCCAUGUCCCCGCCAAUCCAUAUGUGGAAACACUAGUCCCCACUGUGAUGGUAUUUGGAGAUGGGGCCUUUGGGAGGUAAUUAGAUGUAGAUGGAACCACGUAGGUGGAGCCCUAUGAUGAUGUUAAGUGAAAAAAGGAAGAAGCCAGAGCUCUCUUUCUCCGCACAAUGUGAGGACACAGCAAGAAGGUGCCCAGAUGGCUGUAAACCAAGAAGAGGGUCCUCACCAAGAAGCUAACCAUGCUGGCACCCUGAUCUCAGACUUCUGGCCUCCAGAACUAUGACAGUGUAAUGAUUCAAGUUUCCUAUCAUGAACUCAUUGUUGCCAAGUUUCCCUUCUGUGGUUGCCUGGUCUACCUCUGCUGGAUUCUCAUUCAUCUGUGACUUUUGUGUGGGAUUAGAAGAGCCCUCCGAUGUCCUCUUUGGUUGGCUUCAUUAAAUCCUACAACAUUCACAAGAU